rnacentral:rRNA from 1 species
UACGUAGGGUGCAAGCGUUGUCCGGAAUUAUUGGGCGUAAAGAGCUUGUAGGCGGUUUGUCGCGUCUGCUGUGAAAUUUCGGGGCUCAACCCCGAACUUGCAGUGGGUACGGGCAGACUAGAGUGCGGUAGGGGUGACUGGAAUUCCUGGUGUAGCGGUGAAAUGCGCAGAUAUCGGGAGGAACACCCGUAGCGAAGGCGGCACUCUGGGCCGGAACUGACGCUGAGGAGCGAAAGCGUGGGGAGCAAACAGG